rnacentral:lncRNA from 1 species
GAUCGUCAAAAUAGGAGAGAGAAAUGUUUUGGGACCAAGGGGUUAUAUUGGGAAGAGCUCUCAUACACUUAUGUGACUCUCUCUGUUACAAAGUCUACUCCCUACUACAGAGGCUAUCUCUUCCUUUGAACUCUCAAGCUUCUCUCCCCAGCUCUCUCUUUCUCUCCCUGUUACAAAAGCUCCUUCUUUCUCCCAUAAUCCCACGAACCCGACGUGGACCACUUCCUCUGGAGUGAGCAAGAUGUGGAGUGGUUAUGUGGUGCAACUGCAUGGAACAAAGAACUGGCUUCCCAUGCUACUCCCCCACAUCCCACGUUCUCCCCAA